UUCACAAUAACUUUACGGGAGCCGGGCAGCGCACCUCCCCGGCCGCUGGGGCGCCGUACGCCUGGCGACUAGCAUGGGUGAAGACAUCGAGGCGCACAUGUUUGUUCCAGUUUCACUUCAGCACCUUCUGGAUUUACAACUUUGCCCAGGUCUGUCAUCAUUGCAGGCAAGAUCCUGUUGUAUGAUGAUGACCAGUAACAGUCUCCAGACCAGAAUUUGAACACACACAUCUUGGAGAUACCUGGGAGCCAGAGGAAAUUCUAUUGUCUGCCAGCCUCAGCUUCUCACCUGCUUUUAACUAAUAUGGAGUCUGGGACCUCUUGGUUUCAUUUAUUGAGUGGUCCACAUACCAGGCAUCGUGGGACAGCUCUCAUAGAAGUGGAGGAGACAGGUGAGGAAACUGAUGCCCAGAAAUGUUAAAGAGAAAACCCCCUUUCUUCAGCAGCUCAGCGACAACUGAUUAGACGGAAGCAAGUUUGCCUGCAUGAGUCUGGAAGUGACAGUUCUUACUAAGAAUAAAGGAAUUAAGAAGACCUUUAUUCUUUUGUCAUAAUAAAAUAGAAUGUUAUUGACUCCUCCAAGGCAGAUGCAAAUUACUUGGACUCCCUUCACCCUGUCUGAACUGAAAAGGAAAUGGAUCUGCAGGUGUCUGUGUAGGGAAAGGGUGGCGGUUUUACCCUUAGGCUAGUUGUGAUAAAUCGCCUGCAGAUUGUAUCCUCAAGGACUUCUGAGUGGACUUGGAACUUGAACCUGGGCUUCCAGUUUUUCAUUCUUGGUGACUCGUAUUAUUUGGGGAAACCCUAUGGGAGUGGAUUGGCCUGAAAUACAACCCUCUCAAAACACCUUGAAUGCCUGGUGUGGGGACAUCCGUGCUACAGAGCUGAGAGUCUUAGCAGCUGCAGCAGCAGGAACAUGUGUUUACAGACCAUGAGUCCCUCUCCUCAAGGUUAUUAAAUACACCAGAGGAUUUUCUCCUUUUUUUACAAGCCCACUAGGCCAAUAGCUCCUGUGCUAACAGUUUAAAAAAAAAAUUAUAUUCAGAGAAAUUGCCUUCAUUUGGGCUAAUAGCAAGGAAAACCUGCCUAAAUUAGGACCUGAACGGAUUUAAAGGAAAAACUGAAACAAAAGGAAUUUAAAAAACAAAACCUCAAAUAUGUACGUAUAUUAAAACGAAGCAGUUACCAGAAUCCUGUACUACUAUACCCAACCCCUGGGGCACACAGUAUCAGCCGAGGUUCAUUAAAGAUACUUGGAAUCAACUAUUUGACGGACAGAGGUUCUUCUGAAAUGCUGAAAAGCACGGUGUUCUAAUAGUGAUAAAAUGCCUCUUCACUCUUAUUAAUUAAAAGAAACUACCAACUUGUCACUGAACAAUUUUACUCCUUUAUAUGGACUUGUGAAAUGGAAUGAGCACAAACUCCAAAUCCUCCUCUAAGUGUUUGGAAAAUAUUUUCUUGAGGGGACAUUCACAGGAUCUCCAUUGUCACAGGAUCUCCUUGCUUCUCACAUACUGGGCCAA